GCAGUCGAGCGGACAGAUGGGAGCUUGCUCCCUGAUGUUAGCGGCGGACGGGUGAGUAACACGUGGGUAACCUGCCUGUAAGACUGGGAUAACUCCGGGAAACCGGGGCUAAUACCGGAUGCUUGAUUGAACCGCAUGGUUCAAUUAUAAAAGGUGGCUUUUAGCUACCACUUACAGAUGGACCCGCGGCGCAUUAGCUAGUUGGUGAGGUAACGGCUCACCAAGGCAACGAUGCGUAUCCGACCUGAGAGGGUGAUCGGCCACACUGGAACUG
rnacentral:rRNA from 1 species